CCUACGGGCGGCAGCAGUGGGGAAUAUUGGACAAUGGGGGCAACCCUGAUCCAGCCAUGCCGCGUGUGUGAAGAAGGCCCUCGGGUUGUAAAGCACUUUCAGUGAGGAAGAACGCCUGGUGGUUAAUACCCAUCAGGAAAGACAUCACUCACAGAAGAAGCACCGGCUAACUCCGUGCCAGCAGCCGCGGUAAUACGGAGGGUGCGAGCGUUAAUCGGAAUUACUGGGCGUAAAGCGCGCGUAGGUGGCUUGAUAAGCCGGUUGUGAAAGCCCCGGGCUCAACCUGGGAACGGCAUCCGGAACUGUCAAGCUAGAGUGCAGGAGAGGAAGGUAGAAUUCCCGGUGUAGCGGUGAAAUGCGUAGAGAUCGGGAGGAAUACCAGUGGCGAAGGCGGCCUUCUGGACUGACACUGACACUGAGGUGCGAAAGCGUGGGUAGCAAACAGGGUUAGAUACCCGUGUAGUC
rnacentral:rRNA from 1 species